rnacentral:rRNA from 1 species
ACUCCUACGGGAGGCAGCAGUGGGGAAUAUUGGACAAUGGGGGAAACCCUGAUCCAGCCAUGCCGCGUGUGUGAAGAAGGCCUUCGGGUUGUAAAGCACUUUCAGUGGGGAGGAAAGGUUGAUGGUUAAUACCUAUCGGCUGUGACGUUACCCACAGAAGAAGCACCGGCUAACUCCGUGCCAGCAGCCGCGGUAAUACGGAGGGUGCAAGCGUUAAUCGGAAUUAUUGGGCGUAAAGCGUGCGCAGGCGGUCUGUUAAGCGAGAUGUGAAAGCCCC